rnacentral:rRNA from 1 species
GAUGAACGCUGGCGGCGUGCCUAAUACAUGCAAGUCGAGCGAACAGAUAAGGAGCUUGCUCCUUUGACGUUAGCGGCGGACGGGUGAGUAACACGUGGGUAACCUACCUAUAAGACUGGGAUAACUUCGGGAAACCGGAGCUAAUACCGGAUAACAUUUGGAACCGCAUGGUUCUAAAGUGAAAGAUGGUUUUGCUAUCACUUAUAGAUGGACCCGCGCCGUAUUAGCUAGUUGGUAAGGUAACGGCUUACCAAGGGAACGACACGUAGCCGACCUGAGAGGGUGAUCGGCCACACUGGAACUGAGACACGGUCCAGACUCCUACGGGAGGCAGCAGUAGGGAAUCUUCCGCAAAGGGCGAAAGCCUGACGGAGCAACGCCGCGUGAGUGAUGAAGGGUUUCGGCUCGUAAAACUCUGUUAUUAGGGAAGAACAAACGUGUAAGUAACUGUGCACGUCUUGACGGUACCUAAUCAGAAAGCCACGGCUAACUACGUG